GAUGAACGCUGGCGGCGUGCUUAACACAUGCAAGUCGAACGGGAAUGUUUCGCUGAUGCGAUUUCGGUCAAAUCUUGAAGCAUUUUAGUGGCGGACGGGUGAGUAACGCGUGGGUAACCUGCCCUGUACAGGGGGACAACAGUUGGAAACGACUGCUAAUACCGCAUAAGCGCACAGCUUCGCAUGAAGCAGUGUGAAAAACUCCGGUGGUACAGGAUGGACCCGCGUCUGAUUAGAUAGUUGGUGAGGUAACGGCCCACCAAGUCAACGAUCAGUAGCCGGCCUGAGAGGGCGAACGGCCACAUUGGGACUGAGACACGGCCCAAACUCCUACGGGAGGCAGCAGUGGGGAACAUUGCACAAUGGGGGAAACCCUGAUGCAGCGACGCCGCGUGAGUGAAGAAGUAUUUCGGUAUGUAAAGCUCUAUCAGCAGGGAAGAAAACAAUGACGGUACCUGACUAAGAAGCCCCGGCUAACUACGUGCCAGCAGCCGCAGUAA
rnacentral:rRNA from 1 species